rnacentral:rRNA from 1 species
ACGGGGCCGCACAAGCGGAGAACAUGUGGUUUAAUUCGAUGAUACGCGAGGAACCUUACCUGGGCUUAAAUGUAGAGUGCAUGGGGUAGAAAUAUCCCUUUCCUUCGGGACUCUUUGCAAGGUGCUGCAUGGUUGUCGUCAGCUCGUGCCGUGAGGUGUCGGGUUAAGUCCCAUAACGAGCGCAACCCUUAUCGUUAGUUGCCAGCGGGUAAUGCCGGGAACUCUAACGAAACUGCCGGUGUAAACCGUGAGGAAGGUGGGAUGACGUCAAAUCAGCACGGCCCUUAUGUCCAGGGCUACACACGUGUUACAAUGGCCGGUACAGAGGGCAGCUACCUGGAGACAGGAUGCGAAUCUCCAAAGCCGGUCUCAGUUCGGAUCGGAGUCUGCAACUCGACUCCGUGAAGCUGGAUUCGCUAGUAAUCGCGCAUCAGCCAUGGCGCGGUGAAUACGUUCCCGGGCCUU